UGAGUGAUCCUAUAAACACCUUACUUGA
rnacentral:piRNA from 1 species